UACGUAGGGUGCGAGCGUUAAUCGGAAUUACUGGGCGUAAAGCGUGCGCAGGCGGUUUUGUAAGCCAGAUGUGAAAUCCCCGGGCUCAACCUGGGAAUGGCAUUUGGGACUGCAAGGCUGGAGUACGGCAGAGGAGACUGGAAUUCCUGGUGUAGCAGUGAAAUGCGUAGAUAUCAGGAGGAAUACCGGAUGGCGAAGGCAGGUCUCUGGGCUGAUACUGACGCUCAUGCACGAAAGCGUGGGGAGCAAACAGG
rnacentral:rRNA from 1 species